rnacentral:rRNA from 1 species
CGGAGGAAGGUGGGGAUGACGUCAAGUCAUCAUGCCCCCUAUGUCCAGGGCUUCACGCAUGCUACAAUGGCCGGUACAAAGGGCUGCGAUACCGCAAGGUGGAGCGAAUCCCAAAAAGCCGGUCUCAGUUCGGAUCGGGGUCUGCAACUCGACCCCGUGAAGUCGGA